AUACGGAGGGGGCUAGCGUUGUUCGGAAUCACUGGGCGUAAAGCGCGCGUAGGCGGACUGAAAAGUUGGGGGUGAAAGCCCGGGGCUCAACCUCGGAACUGCCUCCAAAACUCUCAGUCUCGAGUCCGGGAGAGGUGAGUGGAAUUCCGAGUGUAGAGGUGAAAUUCGUAGAUAUUCGGAGGAACACCAGUGGCGAAGGCGACUCACUGGCCCGGUACUGACGCUGAGGUGCGAAAGCGUGGGGAGCAAACAGGAUUAGAAACCCCAGUAGUCC
rnacentral:rRNA from 1 species